GGCAGGUAUUCAGAGCAUCUGGAGAACGUCUCCUAUGGCCAGACAUCUGCAUCAGCAAGCUCACUGGGGACCUGCCAGGCUCUUCACUGGUGACAUGGAGGAUGAUGGUCUCCAGCCCCGUCUGCAGACUUAGCUGUGACCUGGCCCAGAUCCAUGGCCUGCCAAAGCAGGAGACCUCCACAGUUCUGCACCUAAUGGGGACAGUCCUCCUUGUUUUCCUGCCUGAAGGACAGGAAUGCUUUGGGGUUCCCCAAAAGCUGAACAGCAGCCAGUUCCAAAAAGCUCAGGCCACCUCUUUCUCCAUGAGAUGAUCCAGCCGAGCUUCAACUUGUUUGGCACAAACAGCUGAAAUUCUUCACUGGGCUUGAUCAGCAGGAGGAAGCUCUGCAGACCAGUUUGGUGCAGGAGCCUGGGGAAGAAAAGACCUUCCUGGAAAUGAGGACUCUAGCCUGACUUUGAAUAACUCCUUUUGAAGGACCAGGUUACAUCUGAAAAGAAAGUAUAGCCGCUGUGCGUGGGACAUCGUCAGACUGGAAGUUAAGCAUGCAGAAUUUCCCAUCCCAGGAUCAAACCAACACCACAGCAGUGACAACACCAGAUCCUAAAUCCACUGAGACCAUCAGGGAACUCCCAAUAGUGGAGUUCUUUAAAUAAGUAAGAAAGUGACAAUGCAAAGCUGUAGCAGCAUUUGUUGUGGAAAGGAAAUUCAGAGAAGAAACUUGAAUUUCCAGUGGAUGUGAUGGGAAAGGCUGUCUCCUGUCCUCAUGAGCUGGUCUUGAAGCUAAAGUCUCAGCUCCACAUCUGAUCUCAGCUCUGCUCUGUGAUGCUGGGGCUCCACUGCCAUCCACCACAUUUCUCCUCUGCCAGUAGGUUUAUUUCCUUUUAAAGUGCUUCCAUACAAGUCCCAAGAGAUGGGCUAGAAGGCUUGAGGAAAUUUUCUGUUUUCCUGACUGGGCUGUGACUGAAAACAGUGACCAUCAAUAGGAAAAGGACAACUAGUGGAUCUUCUAGAUGCUAUUUGUCAACUACCAGGUUGGCAGAAACUAAGAAGGAGUGAUAAGAUCCUGUUUUGGCCAAUGCCUAGAAACAUAUAUAAACGUAUACACUCUCAAAUAUGAUUAAUAUAGUCAUUGUCAUCGUGGACAGUUGGCAGUAUAUGUUUGCAAUAUGUGUGUAUUUUGACCAAGAAAUUUUGCUUCAUGACACCUUCUUCAGAGAAAGACUCUCCCUUGGAUAUAAGACACCUGCAUGAUAACUGUAGCAACUUAUUUUUUAAACUUAAAAACAACUAAGAAAAUGUCAACUAGACAAUGUGG
rnacentral:lncRNA from 1 species